rfam:Triticum aestivum genome assembly, contig: Triticum_aestivum_CS42_TGACv1_scaffold_424403_5BS
UGAGUACUCCCUCCGUCCGAAAAUACUUGUCUUCAAAUUAGAUACAUUCCAUUUUAUCUAUUUUGAAGACAAGUAUUUUCGGAUGGAGGGAGUAUAAC